UGUAGUCAUAUGCUUGUCUCAAAGAUUAAGCCAUGCAUGUCUAAGUAUAAACAACUUUACUGCGAAUCAUUACAUCAGCAAUAAUUUAUUUGAUGAUUUCUUACUACAUGGAUAACUGUAGUAAUUCUAGAGCUAAUACAUGCGCAAAGUCCUGACUCGCGAGGGGAGGGAUGUAUUUAUUAGAUACAAAACCAAUGCGGGUUCUGCUCGCCAUUGUGUUGAAUCAUAGUAACUUAUCGGACGCCAUAGCCUUGUGCUGGGCGUAGAUCAUUCAAAUUUCUGCCCUAUCAGCUUUCGACGGUAGUGUAGUGGACUACCGUGGCGUUAACGGGUAACGGGGA
rnacentral:rRNA from 1 species